rnacentral:rRNA from 1 species
GAUGAACGCUGGCGGCGUGCUUAACACAUGCAAGUCGAACGGAAAGGCUCCUGCUUGCAGGGGUACUCGAGUGGCGAACGGGUGAGUAACACGUGGGUGAUCUGCCCUGCACUUCGGGAUAAGCCUGGGAAACUGGGUCUAAUACCGGAUAGGACGAUGGUUUGGAUGCCAUUGUGGAAAGUUUUUCGGUGUGGGAUGAGCUCGCGGCCUAUCAGCUUGUUGGUGGGGUAAUGGCCUACCAAGGCGUCGACGGGUAGCCGGCCUGAGAGGGUGUACGGCCACAUUGGGACUGAGAUACGGCCCAGACUCCUACGGGAGGCAGCAGUGGGGAAUAUUGCACAAUGGGCGCAAGCCUGAUGCAGCGACGCCGCGUGGGGGAUGACGGCCUUCGGGUUGUAAACUCCUUUCGCUAGGGACGAAGCGCAAGUGACGGUACCUGGAGAGGAAGCACCGGCUAACUACGUG